rnacentral:misc_RNA from 1 species
GAUGAAGAACGUAGCGAAAUGCGAUAAGUAAUGUGAAUUGCAGACUUCCGUGAAUCAUCGAAUCUUUGAACGCACAUUGCGCCCUCUGGUAUUCCGGGGGGCAUGCCUGUUCGAGCGUCAUUACAACCCUCAAGCUUUGCUUGGUAUUGGACAUUGCCAGUUUCUGGCAGGUCUUAAAAUCAGUGGCGGUGCCAUUUGGCUUCAAGCGUAGUAAUUCUUCUCGCUUUGGAGAUCCAAGUGGUUACUUGCCAAUAACCCCCAAUUUUUUCAGGUUGACCUCGGAUCAGGUAGGGAUACCCGCUGAACUUAAGCAUAUCAAUAAGCGGAGGA